rnacentral:lncRNA from 1 species
ACGGAUCCCUUGUUCAAAUCUGUGGAUCCCUUGCCAAAUAAAGGUUUUUAUAUUUGCAACUUGACAAAAUGUGAUUUAUAUUAAAUUUAUUUUAAGUUAAUAGUGUACUGGUUAUAACUAAUAUCAAAUCUUUACUAAUACUUGAUUUCUUUUUAUGAUGGUUGACUUUGCGAGAACUAACGGAGCAUUAGUGUCAAGAAUGGGCUGAGAUUCGAAUUCAGUCGGUUUUUCGCUCUUUUUUGGUAAUUUCUAAGCCUUGAAUAUUAAUUUUUAACAUGCUAUGCUACUGAGAGAAUAUAAACUUGACUAUAUUUUGUGUUUUAUGAUGUACAAAAAGGGAUCAAGAUCGGGACCGUCCAUUUGACUUC